rnacentral:rRNA from 1 species
GGUUAAGCGACUAAGCGUACACGGUGGAUGCCCCGGCAGUCAGAGGCGAUGAAGGACGUGCUAAUCUGCGAUAAGCGUCGGUAAGGUGAUAUGAACCGUUAUAACCGGCGAUUUCCGAAUGGGGAAACCCAGUGUGUUUCGACACACUAUCAUUAACUGAAUCCAUAGGUUAAUGAGGCGAACCGGGGGAACUGAAACAUCUAAGUACCCCGAGGAAAAGAAAUCAACCGAGAUUCCCCCAGUAGCGGCGAGCGAACGGGGAGCAGCCCAGAGCCUGAAUCAGUGUGUGUGUUAGUGGAAGCGUCUGGAAAGGCGCGCGAUACAGGGUGACAGCCCCGUACACAAAAAUGCACAUGCUGUGAGCUCGAUGAGUAGGGCGGGACACGUGGUAUCCUGUCUGAAUAUGGGGGGACCAUCCUCCAAGGCUAAAUACUCCUGACUGACCGAUAGUGAACCAGUACCGUGAGGGAAAGGCGAAAAGAACCCCGGCGAGGGGAGUGAAAAAGAACCUGAAACCGUGUACGUACAAGCAGUGGGAGCACGCUUAGGCGUGUGACUGCGUACCUUUUGUAUAAUGGGUCAGCGACUUAUAUUCUGUAGCAAGGUUAACCGAAUAGGGGAGCCGAAGGGAAACCGAGUCUUAACUGGGCGUUAAGUUGCAGGGUAUAGACCCGAAACCCGGUGAUCUAGCCAUGGGCAGGUUGAAGGUUGGGUAACACUAACUGGAGGACCGAACCGACUAAUGUUGAAAAAUUAGCGGAUGACUUGUGGCUGGGGGUGAAAGGCCAAUCAAACCGGGAGAUAGCUGGUUCUCCCCGAAAGCUAUUUAGGUAGCGCCUCGUGAAUUCAUCUCCGGGGGUAGAGCACUGUUUCGGCAAGGGGGUCAUCCCGACUUACCAACCCGAUGCAAACUGCGAAUACCGGAGAAUGUUAUCACGGGAGACACACGGCGGGUGCUAACGUCCGUCGUGAAGAGGGAAACAACCCAGACCGCCAGCUAAGGUCCCAAAGUCAUGGUUAAGUGGGAAACGAUGUGGGAAGGCCCAGACAGCCGGGAUGUUGGCUUAGAAGCAGCCAUCAUUUAAAGAAAGCGUAAUAGCUCACUGGUCGAGUCGGCCUGCGCGGAAGAUGUAACGGGGCUAAACCAUGCACCGAAGCUGCGGCAGCGACACUAUGUGUUGUUGGGUAGGGGAGCGUUCUGUAAGCCUGUGAAGGUGUGCUGUGAGGCAUGCUGGAGGUAUCAGAAGUGCGAAUGCUGACAUAAGUAACGAUAAAGCGGGUGAAAAGCCCGCUCGCCGGAAGACCAAGGGUUCCUGUCCAACGUUAAUCGGGGCAGGGUGAGUCGACCCCUAAGGCGAGGCCGAAAGGCGUAGUCGAUGGGAAACAGGUUAAUAUUCCUGUACUUGGUGUUACUGCGAAGGGGGGACGGAGAAGGCUAUGUUGGCCGGGCGACGGUUGUCCCGGUUUAAGCGUGUAGGCUGGUUUUCCGGGCAAAUCCGGAAAAUCAAGGCUGAGGCGUGAUGACGAGGCACUACGGUGCUGAAGCAACAAAUGCCCUGCUUCCGGGAAAAGCCUCUAAGCAUCAGGUAACAUCAAAUCGUACCCCAAACCGACACAGGUGGUCAGGUAGAGAAUACCAAGGCGCUUGAGAGAACUCGGGUGAAGGAACUAGGCAAAAUGGUGCCGUAACUUCGGGAGAAGGCACGCUGAUAUGUAGGUGAAGUCCCUUGCGGAUGGAGCUGAAAUCAGUCGAAGAUACCAGCUGGCUGCAACUGUUUAUUAAAAACACAGCACUGUGCAAACACGAAAGUGGACGUAUACGGUGUGACGCCUGCCCGGUGCCGGAAGGUUAAUUGAUGGGGUCAGCGCAAGCGAAGCUCUUGAUCGAAGCCCCGGUAAACGGCGGCCGUAACUAUAACGGUCCUAAGGUAGCGAAAUUCCUUGUCGGGUAAGUUCCGACCUGCACGAAUGGCGUAAUGAUGGCCGGGCUGUCUCCACCCGAGACUCAGUGAAAUUGAACUCGCUGUGAAGAUGCAGUGUACCCGCGGCAAGACGGAAAGACCCCGUGAACCUUUACUAUAGCUUGACACUGAACAUUGAGCCUUGAUGUGUAGGAUAGGUGGGAGGCUUGGAAGUGUGGACGCCAGUCUGCAUGGAGCCGACCUUGAAAUACCACCCUUUAAUGUUUGAUGUUCUAACGUUGACCCGUAAUCCGGGUUGCGGACAGUGUCUGGUGGGUAGUUUGACUGGGGCGGUCUCCUCCUAAAGAGUAACGGAGGAGCACGAAGGUUGGCUAAUCCUGGUCGGACAUCAGGAGGUUAGUGCAAUGGCAUAAGCCAGCUUGACUGCGAGCGUGACGGCGCGAGCAGGUGCGAAAGCAGGUCAUAGUGAUCCGGUGGUUCUGAAUGGAAGGGCCAUCGCUCAACGGAUAAAAGGUACUCCGGGGAUAACAGGCUGAUACCGCCCAAGAGUUCAUAUCGACGGCGGUGUUUGGCACCUCGAUGUCGGCUCAUCACAUCCUCGGGGCUGAAGUAGGUCCCAAGGGUAUGGCUGUUCGCCAUUUAAAGUGGUACGCGAGCUGGGUUUAGAACGUCGUGAGACAGUUCGGUCCCUAUCUCGCCGUGGGCGCUGGAGAACUGAGGGGGGCUGCUCCUAGUACGAGAGGACCGGAGUGGACGCAUCACUGGUGUUCGGGUUGUCAUGCCAAUGGCACUGCCCGGUAGCUAAAUGCGGAAGAGAUAAGUGCUGAAAGCAUCUAAGCACGAAACUUGCCCCGAGAUGAGUUCUCCCUGACUCCUUGAGAGUCCUGAAGGAACGUUGAAGACGACGACGUUGAUAGGCCGGGUGUGUAAGCGCAGCGAUGCGUUGAGCUAACCGGUACUAAUGAACCGUGAGGCUUAACCUU